CGGGACGGGGUGAGUAAUGUCUGGGAAACUGCCUGAUGGAGGGGGAUAACUACUGGAAACGGUAGCUAAUACCGCAUAACGUCGCAAGACCAAAGAGGGGGACCUUAGGGCCUCUUGCCAUCGGAUGUGCCCAGAUGGGAUUAGCUAGUAGGUGGGGUAAAGGCUCACCUAGGCGACGAUCCCUAGCUGGUCUGAGAGGAUGACCAGCCACACUGGAACUGAGACACGGUCCAG
rnacentral:rRNA from 1 species